rnacentral:tRNA from 1 species
UAGUGGGUAAGAAAUUUUCGAAAGUAGUUUGAAGCUAUUUUUAUCAUGUUGGUUCAUGAUACCUGCUAU